GAGUUUGAUCCUGGCUCAGAGUGAACGCUGGCGGUAGGCCUAACACAUGCAAGUCGAACGGCAGCACAGUAAGAGCUUGCUCUUACGGGUGGCGAGUGGCGGACGGGUGAGGAAUGCAUCGGAAUCUACUUUUUCGUGGGGAUAACGUAGGGAAACUUACGCUAAUACCGCAUACGACCUACGGGUGAAAGCAGGGGAUCUUCGGACCUUGCGCGAUUGAAUGAGCCGAUGUCGGAUUAGCUAGUUGGCGGGGUAAAGGCCCACCAAGGCGACGAUCCGUAGCUGGUCUGAGAGGAUGAUCAGCCACACUGGAACUGAGACACGGUCCAGACUCCUACGGGAGGCAGCAGUGGGGAAUAUUGGACAAUGGGCGCAAGCCUGAUCCAGCCAUACCGCGUGGGUGAAGAAGGCCUUCGGUUGUAA
rnacentral:rRNA from 1 species